CAACAACAUCCUGGUGUUCAGAGUGGAAUAGUGUGAACAUUGGCUGCUGAGUCAGAACAAGGAUGCUGAGGAUGUGGUGGACAAGGAUGACAUGACUACGCAGAAGCAACUGCUAAGCACAGAAGACAACGGAGUAGUGAAAGGCUCAGCCAAAUCAAAGUCCAGCGAUGUGAGGGUGACACAGCCUUUCCAUCUCCUUGUAUUGCAACAUGAAGGACAUUUUAGCUGAAACUAACAAGGGAGAGAACUGUAGAUCUGCACCAGCACAGAGCACCAGCAUUGAUAUCGAGUUGGCCCAGCAACCGCACGAGUCCCGCCUGCAGGAGCCCCCGUCCAGAACGACCCUUCCCCUCCCCUGACUUCUAACUCCUCCCCCUUGACCUCCUGACUCAAAAAGUCAGCAUCGUUGAACAACUCCGUUCUGCAGAAAAUUCUGAGCAUGAUUCUGGUCUGAACAAACACAAUGCCCACGUCAAGUUGUCCACACAUAAGCCUGGGUAGUUCUGUUAAGCUAGAGUUCCGCGUGGGCCUGAGAGGGACGAGUUUUACAAACACGAAAAGUUAUAGCUGUAGUUAUGGUAACGCUAACAGUCAGUUGUUGCUGUUGGACAUCACAACAAAUAUCCUGAAGAAUAAAAAGUUCAAUAACUUGUUCCAAUCUUUAUGGGACAAACAGAAAUUGGACGGGAGAAAAUCAAGGAACAAUAAAAGCGUAAGCUUUCCUAGUGGGAUGCUUCUGCUGUUGAUAGUUUGGACGACAAUAGGGUUACGGACUGCCCCAGAUUGUCCUCUCAGCGGCCAAAAUAUCAUAAUAGAACGGACUUUUGGCAAUGUUACCGACAAAGAAAGGCAGUAAUGACUUGGUUGUGAAUACCCAGAGCACGAUACAUCCAUGCUGACACAAAAAGGCAGUUAUGACUUGGUGGUGAAAACCCAGAGCACGCUACAUCCUUGCUGACCAAGAAAUGCAGUAAUGACUUGGUUGUGAAUACCCAGAGCAUGCUACAUCCAUGCUGACACAGAAAGGCAGUAAUGACUAUGCUGUGAACACCCAGAGCAAGAUAUAUCCAUGCUGACACAGAAAGGAAGUAAUGACUAUGCUGUGAACACCCAGAGCAAGAUAUAUCCAUGCUGACACAGAAAGGCAGUAAUGACUAUGCUGUGAACACCCAGAGCAAGAUAUAUCAAUGCUGACACAGAAAGGAAGUAAUGACUAUGCUGUGAACACCCAGAGCAAGAUAUAUCCAUGCUGACACAAAAAGGCAGUAAUGACUAUGCUGUGAACACCCAGAGCAAGCUACAUCCAUGCUGACACAGAAAGGAAGUAAUGACUAUGAUGUAAACACCCAGAGCACAAUACAUCCAUGCUGACACAGAAAGGCAGUAAUGACUAUGCUGUGAACACCCAGAGCACGCUACAUCCAUGCUGACACAGAAAGGAAGUAAUGACUAUGCUGUGAACACCCAGAGCAAGAUAUAUCCAUGCUGACACAGAAAGGCAGUAAUGAUUAUGCUGUGAACUCCCAGAGCAAGAUAAAUCCAUGCUGACACAGAAAGGCAGUAAUGACUACGCUGUGAACACCCAGAGCACAAUACAUCCAUGCUGACACAGAAAGGCAGUAAUGACUUGGUUGUAAACACCCAGAGCACAAUACAUCAAUGUUGACUCAGAAAGGCAGUAAUGACUUGGUUGUGAACACAGAACACGAUACACCCAUGCUGACACAGAAAGGCAGUAAUUACUUGGCUGUGAACACAGAGCACAAUACAUCCAUGCGGAAACAGAAAGGCAGUCAUGACUAUGCUGUGAACACCCAGAGCACGAUAAAUCCAUGCUGACACAGAAAGACAGUAAAGACUUGGUUGUAAACACCCAGAGCACAAUACAUCCAUGAUGACACAGAAAGGCAGUAAAGACCUUGUUGUAAACACUAAGAGAUCCAUACAUCCAUGGGGUGUGCCACAGUUCGAAUUACGCCCACUAUUGUGAACAAGGUGCUUAAAGUGAACAUGUCUGGUUUUGGUAUGAGGACUUAGCACUCCAAGCCUAAAAGGCCUCGCAUUGAAUUGAUGCAAGAGAAGGCUUUGAAAAAUAACAGCAGUUUUGUUGUGUGGUCCAGUACGCCCUUCGACUCUCAACCUGAAGAAAGCAGAACUCAAACUCGGCUCUUAUCAAUAUCAGCAAGGCCAGCAUGUCAUAUCAGCUUCUUGAGCUUCAGAAAUUCAGCACGAAGACAUCUUGCGUCAGACUACCAAGCCUCCUAUCAAUAUCUCCUCCCAUGUUGGCUUCAUCAACACUUCCAACAGAGCCUUGGUGAGUUCGACUUCCGUCUCAGCAUCGAUGUCGCUUAGCAACAAUUGGAUGAUGGGCGUCGACAAAUUAGGCCGGACAAGUCGCUCAAACUGAAACGAUCUGAUCCAACAGGUAGAGCAGGCAUUGCGUGACACGUCCGUUAAUGUGACUGACCUCAUUAUGUUGUUCUCGAAUAAUGUGAAGCUUAGGCCUGGAGAGCAGUUUGCGAUUGACGCCAUUCAACAACAGUUGUUGUUGGCAAUUCUCGGGUUUGGGGGUGGCGACUUCGGCGUCAGGACUCGCUCCAUCUCUGUCCAUGGCCCAGUCGCAGCAGCAGCAACAAGAAAAAUAAAGCCUGUUCCUACAGGAACCUAUGCAAUCAUAGAUCGGUACCUAGCUGAACAACAGGCUGUAUGGUCAGCUGGUCCCAGACGCCCAGUGACACUUCCUGGCCCAGGACCUUGGGGCAAAUGCUCAACUAUACCUACCCGCAGGGUGGAGCCACUCUGAACCUGGGGCUCCAUACUUUCUUGGCCAGGGGCCAAGUUUACCUUGUCAAUAAGGUACAUGUAGGGACACAUUCCUUGGAUGCCCUAAGGUUUCUCUAUCUGUUCACAAAGGCUUUAUACUCACAAGUUCAAGCCCAGUGAGCGAUGUUCACAUUAUCAAACUCUGCAUAUCAAUAGAAUCCCAGAUAUCAAAGCGUUGAGCUUUUUUUGAAGCAUUUGCACCAGCAACAGUCAUCAUCUCGAGUUACUGGCAUCUCUAUGGUGUGGAACCCUCCGUCUUUGAACAUCAUAACAGCACAUGAACCAGUGGCACUCAUCAUCUCAAGAUUCUGGUAUUAUCCAUGGUGCAGGACCCUCGGUCUGCAAAGAUCAUGCAGAGCGAACCUCAGAUGCCAUUUGAUGAAAUCAAACCAUUCAAUCAGAAACACAGCCUGUUGCAGCAGUUGUUACCAUAUUGACCCCAGUCAAACCUAAGAAGUCCAUAGAUAAAUACUUUUUUAGAUGUGCUAGUCUUUACGUACCUCCUGGUUUGUUCAGCACUUACUCUGACUCUUUGAAUUUAAUGACGGGUGAAAAUGAAUGACCUUGUUCAGUUCGAAAUGACACAUCACAACAAUUCAAGUGGAAAGCCAGAAAGUCAUGUCAACAGCCACAUUUUGUAUGUGUAACAGCCAAGUUGUUUUCAAAGAAAAACAAUAUUUUACAUUUUAUUUUUUAUUUGACCAAUGUUUCAUGGGAAUUAUGAUGCUGUCAGUCUCUUUAUGUUGAAAGUUUUGGUUAAAAAUAGCAUGUUAAUUUUUUUUUUUAAAGCACACAUAUUGCAUUUAUAUCCAAUGUCUUUGUCUGUAUAAUGAAUUUUUCACUACAUAUUUUGAUCCUUAUAACUGUAAAUGUAUGGGAAAAACAAUUUUAUCAAAGAUAUUCUAAGAUUGUCAAGUCUGUUUAAAUGAUGCUGGUAACUUUGACAAAAUUGAAAAAAAAGGAGUAUUUUCAUAUUAUAAGAUAUGUUUCAGUUGUCUGUUUUUACCCGUAAUAUAGAUAAGCUAAUUUAAUGAAUUGUUCACGAAGGUUUAUAACUUUUACGCUUCAGCUUUUUCUGUCUUUUAAUCCUUCCGAAAACAAUACUAGUCAAUUUGCUGAUUUGGGUCGGUAUUCGAUCAUGAAUCUUGUUUAGUAGCAUACUAUUUCAUUGGAAUAAUAAUGCAUUCUGGGAAAAAUUAUUUAAUCUAACUAAAAUUAUUGAUUCUGUAAAUACCACUUUGUUGAUUUCAAUGGAUAUUGUUUGUAAAAUUAAUAUAGUAUGACUAUUGCGUGUUUGGGAAAGCUUUUAAUGAAACUGAGUAUUAUAAAAAACAAAAAAACAAAUAAAGAGUUUUAUGAAAAUUGUCAAAACUUAUUAUUGUUAAUUUGUGUUGUUAGAUCAUAGAUGUGUAUGCUCACAAUUGUUAAACUUUGUUUUUGGACACAAUAGUUUAUUAUGCGUAUCCUCUUUAAUAAGUGAGUAACUUAAUCAAGAUUUAUUGAUCACUGUAUAUAUUCUGUAGGUAUAUUUUGCCAUUUAUACAUAAAGCAACUGUAGAACAAUUGUAUUUUAAAUGUAAAUUAUUCUUGUAUUGUUGCCAUUUGUAUAAUAUAAACUAACUGUUUACCUUAGUUUGUAAAAACCUUUGUAAAAAAACAUUUC